rnacentral:rRNA from 1 species
AGGGAAUUUUCCACAAUGGACGAAAGUCUGAUGGAGCAACGCCGCGUGAACGAUGAAGGUCUUCGGAUUGUAAAGUUCUGUUGUCAGGGACGAACAAGUACCGUUCGAACAGGGCGGUACCUUGACGGUACCUGACGAGAAAGCCACGGCUAACUACGUGCCCGCAGCCGCGGUAAUACGUAGGUGGCAAGCGUUGUCCGGAAUUAUUGGGCGUAAAGCGCGCGCAGGCGGCUAUGUAAGUCUGGUGUUAAAGCCCGGGGCUCAACCCCGGUUCGCAUCGGAAACUGUGUAGCUUGAGUGCAGAAGAGGAAAGCGGUAUUCCACGUGUAGCGGUGAAAUGCGUAGAGAUGUGGAGGAACACCAGUGGCGAAGGCGGCUUUCUGGUCUGUAACUGACGCUGAGGCGCGAAAGCGUGGGGAGCAAAC